UACGGAGGAUGCGAGCGUUAUCCGGAUUUAUUGAGUUUAAAGGGUGCGUAGGCGGGAUGCCAAGUCAGCGGUAAAAAUGCGGUGCUCAACGCCGUCGAGCCGUUGAAACUGGCGUUCUUGAGUGGGCGAGAAGUAUGCGGAAUGCGUGGUGUAGCGGUGAAAUGCAUAGAUAUCACGCAGAACUCCGAUUGCGAAGGCAGCAUACCGGCGCCCUACUGACGCUGAGGCACGAAAGCGUGGGUAUCGAACAGG
rnacentral:rRNA from 1 species